UCCUGGAGGACUAGUGGUUAGGCCACAGUGCUCUCACCGCUGUGGCCCGGGUUCAAUUCCUGGGCAAGGAA
rnacentral:tRNA from 1 species